GUCAAUUGGAUUAGCUUCGGAAUCUGUCCUAGGAAUUGGUAAAGCACACUUCUGGGUAUGUCUGGGUGGAUUAUAAGGUGUGGCCUUGGGAUCGAUAGCUUAUCCCUGGCACCUUCCUCUCUAGCACUGUUUUCCUGCUCUGCUUCCCAGCUGCCAUGAACUGAGGAGCCUGGCCAUGGAUUGCAUCCCCCAAAGCUACCCAGUUGGAGGGUCCCUGCCCAUGCGGAACACGCUGAUCCAGCCUAUGCCCCAGCAGCAAUCCACUGGAUCAUCCCCCCCACCCCCCACUCCUCUGGCCUCUUGGCUGUACUGACAUCUGAUUCCACACUACAAAGACACAGAGGACACUGGACCACCAGACCACUGUACUGGGGUCACCACAUUGCCCAGACUGGGCCCAAGCUUGCCAUUCUCCUGCCUCAGCCUCCCAGAUUGCUGUGAUUACAGGGUCUCUGCCUGCCCUGAGCAGCCACUGCCCACUCCUCAUCCUAGAUUCCACUUCCUCUUUGGAGCCAGC
rnacentral:lncRNA from 1 species